UUAAUUUGAGAGUUUGAUCCUGGCUCAGGACGAACGCUGGCGGCGUGCCUAAUACAUGCAAGUCGAACGAACUCUGGUAUUGAUUGGUGCUUGCAUCAUGAUUUACAUUUGAGUGAGUGGCGAACUGGUGAGUAACACGUGGGAAACCUGCCCAGAAGCGGGGGAUAACACCUGGAAACAGAUGCUAAUACCGCAUAACAACUUGGACCGCAUGGUCCGAGUUUGAAAGAUGGCUUCGGCUAUCACUUUUGGAUGGUCCCGCGGCGUAUUAGCUAGAUGGUGGGGUAACGGCUCACCAUGGCAAUGAUACGUAGCCGACCUGAGAGGGUAAUCGGCCACAUUGGGACUGAGACACGGCCCAAACUCCUACGGGAGGCAGCAGUAGGGAAUCUUCCACAAUGGACGAAAGUCUGAUGGAGCAACGCCGCGUGAGUGAAGAAGGGUUUCGGCUCGUAAAACUCUGUUGUUAAAGAAGAACAUAUCUGAGAGUAACUGUUCAGGUAUUGACGGUAUUUAACCAGAAAGCCACGGCUAACUACGUGCCAGCAGCCGCGGUAAUACGUAGGUGGCAAGCGUUGUCCGGAUUUAUUGGGCGUAAAGCGAGCGCAGGCGGUUUUUUAAGUCUGAUGUGAAAGCCUUCGGCUCAACCGAAGAAGUGCAUCGGAAACUGGGAAACUUGAGUGCAGAAGAGGACAGUGGAACUCCAUGUGUAGCGGUGAAAUGCGUAGAUAUAUGGAAGAACACCAGUGGCGAAGGCGGCUGUCUGGUCUGUAACUGACGCUGA
rnacentral:rRNA from 2 species